rnacentral:rRNA from 1 species
UACGAAGGGGGCUAGCGUUGCUCGGAAUCACUGGGCGUAAAGGGUGCGUAGGCGGGUCUUUAAGUCAGGGGUGAAAUCCUGGAGCUCAACUCCAGAACUGCCUUUGAUACUGAGGAUCUUGAGUUCGGGAGAGGUGAGUGGAACUGCGAGUGUAGAGGUGAAAUUCGUAGAUAUUCGCAAAGAACACCAGUGGCGAAGGCGGCUCACUGGCCCCGAUACUGACGCUGAGGCACGAAAGCGUGGGGAGCAAACAGG